UCCCGCGUAAUUUAAGCAUAUUAAUAAGCGGAGGAAAAGAAACUAACAAGGAUUCCCUUAGUAGCUGCGAGCGAACAGGGAGGAGCCCAGCACCGAAUCCUGCGCGCCACACGGCGCGUCUGGAAAUGUGGUGUUAGGGAGGAUCCGAUUAUCUCGCCCGGGGACGCCAGUCAAAGUCCAUCUUGAAAGCGGCCACAGCCCAUAGAGGGUGCCAGGCCCGUAGGACGGCGCUCCGCCUCCGCGGCGAAAGGAUCUAGAGUUCAAGAGUACGUGAAACCGUUCAGGGGUAAACGGAUGAAAUCUGGAAAAUCGAACGGAGAUGUUCAAGCCCCAAUCGCUCGUGCGUUGCACGGCGGCCGCCGAUGGAGGCGCGUCGCCCGCUCGCGUCGCAAGACGCGGCGGUGUCGUUCGCGCCCUUCACGGUCGCGUCGUCGCGCUCGCCGGCGUCGGGCCGCACUCAUCUCCUUGUAGUACGUCGCGACCCGUUGGGUGUCUGUCCAAGGCCCGCGCGUGGAGCCGGUCGUCGUGUCGCCGUGGCGCUCGCGGUUCUCCGCGAGCUCGCCCGCGCACGCGGCCGACCGCUGCGGUGUCCCGACAGGCCCGCCCGACGGUAUCGAGCAAAACGUCGAUCCGAAACGCACACAGGUCGCGCAAGCGACGUGCGGCGCCCCAGCGGCGUACGGAUCGCGUCGGCGACGCUCUAUCCAGAGCAUCACCCGACCCGUCUUGAAACACGGACCAAGGAGUCUAACAUGUGCGCGAGUCAUUGGGACCGCACUAAACCUAAAGGCGAAACGAAAGUGAAGGCCGGCUGUGGCGCGGCGUCCUCGGAUGUCGUCGCCCGUCGCGCCGAGGGGGGAUGCGGUCCGUCCGCAGCGACGGAUCGCCGCACCCCCGGGGCGUCUCGUUGUCAUUGCGACACAGCAGGCGCACCCAGAGCGUACACGUUGGGACCCGAAAGAUGGUGAACUAUGCCUGGCUGGUGCUCGGAGACAUUGUGGAGCGGUGCCGUCAUUGACGAGCCCGCACGUAACCAGUCUCAUCUGGUAAAGCGAAUGAUUAGAGGCCUUGGGGCCGAAACGACCUCAACCUAUUCUCAAACUUUAAAUGGGUGAGAAAUUCGACUUGCUCGAAUCGAUGAAGUCGAAUAGUAAAAUAUCCGACAGGAUGAACGAGUGCCAAGUGGGCCAAUUUUGGUAAGCAGAACUGGUGCUGUGGGAUGAACCAAACGUCGAGUUAAGGCGCCUAAAUCGAUGCUCAUGGGAUACCAUGAAAGGCGUUGGUUGCUUAAGACAGCAGGANNNNNNNNNNNNNNNNNNNNNNNNNNNNNNNNNNNNNNNNNNNNNNNNNNGGAGUCCGGUUCCUAUUCCGGAACCCGGCAGCGGAACCGACCAUGCGGGCCAAUGUCGCGCAAGCGGCAACUCGUCGGGGUAACCCAAAAGGACCCGGAGACGCCGUCGGAUGAUCGAGGCAGAGUUUUCUGUUCUGUAUGAGCGUUCGAGUUCCCUGGAAUCGCCUAGCGCGGAGAUAGGGUUUGGUUCGCGAAGAGCACCGCACUUGCGGCGGUGUCUCGAUCUAUCCCUCGGACCUUGAAAAUCCGGGAGAGGGCCACGUGGAGGUGUCGCGCCGGAUCGUACCCAUAUCCGCAGCAGGUCUCCAAGGUGAGGAGCCUCUAGUCGGUAGAA
rnacentral:rRNA from 1 species